UGUUUUCUUUUAAAAAUAGGCAACAACAAAAAAAAAAAAUAUAAAGACAAAAAACCCCCAUCUUCAAACGACGGAGAGAAAACGGGAAAAUACAGGACAAAGUUUGGAGGGGCCGGACCCCCUCACCCCGUUCUCAAUUUUGAAGAGGAUCCCAGAUUUUCAAGUCUAUGUCCUGCAGGAGAGAGUCCCUUUGCCACCAUGAUUGGUGCAGAUGAGUCGGGAGUGUGAUGAAGCACAGGCGGAUUCUGACAACAGGAAGCUACGCUGGAAGGAGAACGCGGGACAAACGCCAGACCCUUUCAGCCUCGCUUUCCUCCCACUGAGGAUGGAGGCGCCUCCCGGCUUCUGCCCCCCGUCUGCAACACCUCCCACCCAGCAGAGAAGCACCGCCCAAACACCACCUAUUCGUGGAGAAGCACCACCCAAACACCUCCUACCCAGCGGAGAAGCACCACCCAAACACCUCCUACCCAGCGGAGAAGCACCACCCAAACACUACAGCUUUCCCCUCUAGCUGCACCUCUUCAGCUGCUCCUUCUCUUCUGGGACAGACAGCUGAAGAGAGAGAGCUGAAGGCUGCUGGAGAUAAAGUCUGAGAUUCGCUCGGAUUUCAGCUCCUCCCGCCCCGCUCCCCGCCCCCCGCCCCCCGAGGCCCUGCGGUGCGGGGGCUCAUACGACGCGGUGUAAAGCGCAGGGCGGCGAAGGGCCACAGCGUCCGGCGGGAGACGGCAGUAAUGUAAAAUUACCGUAAGAAGGGUCUAGCUCAGGCGCUGGCUGGCCGCCCAUGCCCUUGGGACCUUGUGGGAGGGCCCUCACACCUCAGGACCCGGAGUGAACAGGAAGUGACUUUCUCUAGACACGUCCUGGGGAUGUGUACUGUACAGGGGUCAGGAAGAGGAAAUUGGCCACAGGAAGGUGUGUUGUGGGAAGUGCGUGCUGUACCAUUCUCAAAUAAUUAAAGAGUGCUCGGCUGGCAUGUGGACCACAGGACAAAAACACCCUCUUUGACCGGUUCUCACAUGCACCAAAAAACUAAGGUGAAGGGCAGAAGCCGUGUCUGGGCUCCCGUGAACUUCGAUGCACACGCUCUUCAGAGGGGAGUUCAGAGGUCACCAAAACAAACUUGCCAAGGCGUGAUUUGAGGAAGGAAACCUAUCCCUGGCAUUAAUCUUAGAGCGGGCCCCCCGUGGCGAGUCGGGACCCAGGAUGCAAAGCGAGAGCGUGUCCGCAUACCUUCUCUCUUCAUGCCCAUGGCGAGACACUUCUGGUACCGGCAGUACUGGCAGCGGUUGCGCUGGCGCUUGUCGAUGAUGCAGUCCUUGUUGUCGCGGCAGGUGUAGGUCAGGUCCUUCCUCACUGUCCUCUUAAAGAAGCCCUUGCAGCCCUCGCAGCUGUACACCCCGUAGUGUUUACCUGCGGGGACACAGGUAACCGGUGAGGGGGGGGGGCUCUCUGGCAUGCAGUCUGGAGAGAGCCCUUGCCGUUUCCAUGGCAGCCACAGGUACCACGCCCUAUGAUUUCUGAAGAUUUAUUUGUUAGGUUUAGUGACCACUAAUAAUGUUGAGCAAGAAAUGAAAAGGGGCAAAGUAAAACUUUCUCUCACUGAUAGCAUCUUUUGCAGAUAGCAUCUACAGCGGAUAGCAUCUCUGACAGGUAGCAUCUCUCACAGAUAGCAUAUCUUUAUUUUUAUUGAGUAGCGUUUUAAUUUCAACUCUUUGAUAAUGUCCUUUUAUGAUGUGUUUCUUUUGCAAUUUGUCUUAUUGCUUUUAAUGUUUUAUGUAAAGCACUUUGAAUUUCCUUGUUGUUGAAAUGUGCUAUACAAAUAAACUUGCCUUGCCUCACAGAUAGCAUCUAUUGCAGAUAGCAUCUCUAGCAGAUAGCAUCUUUAGCAUAUAGCAUCUCUCACAGGUAGCUGUUGCGCAAACAUGAGGGUUGAGCUGCGUUUAACCUGAGUAAAGGCUCCACAUGAGAGCCAUAAAC